GGAGAGAUGGCCGAGUGGAUUAAGGCGCUGGUCUCGAAAAUCAGUAUGAGAAUUUAUUUUCAUCGUGGGUUCGAAUCCCACUCUCUCCG
rnacentral:tRNA from 3 species